rnacentral:rRNA from 1 species
UACGUAGGGUGCGAGCGUUAAUCGGAAUUACUGGGCGUAAAGCGUGCGCAGGCGGUUUUGUAAGCCAGAUGUGAAAGCCCCGGGCUUAACCUGGGAAUGGCAUUUGGGACUGCAAGGCUUGAGUGCGGCAGAGGAGACUGGAAUUCCCGGUGUAGCAGUGAAAUGCGUAGAUAUCGGGAGGAAUACCGAUGGCGAAGGCAGGUCUCUGGGCUGACACUGACACUCAUGCACGAAAGCGUGGGGAGCAAACAGG